AAAUUAUAUAAAAUUUUCAAUAAUUCUUAUAUUUAAUAAACUAAAAUAGUCAUAAUAUAGUUAUUGAUAUCUUUGAAUCUUCACAAAUGGUCCUUGAAUACAAAUUUUCAAUUGAGUUCUAUUUAAGUUCAUGACUAUCGUGAUUCGUGACACUCUUAUUGUAUAAUAUAAUGAUCAAUUAUCAUUGUAUAUGUCAAUUUCGUCAUUUAUUGGGCAUUGAUCAAUUUAAUAUGAAACACUUUUUGAUAGAAAAUUCCUCGAGCUAUAAUUGAGUGUCAUUUUAGUUAUGAAGAAAUAUGUAUUUUUAUAGAAAAUUCUAUAGAAAGUAAUCCUUCCUAGUUAUGUAAUUUUAAAGUAUUCUAUUUUCUUAUAAGUUUUAAUAAGUACAACAUAUGUUCAUGAGAAUUACGUUUUAUACUAAUUUAUCACAUUUCUAAUUAAUUUGUAAAUUUUAUUUUUGAUACUCCAGUAACUAUUGUUUUCCUUCCUACAUAUUUUUAUCUUUACUUAACCCCUCAGAACAUAUGUCUCCCAUACCACAGUCGUUACCACGGAGGAUAGAUACCAGCCGCGGACCGCGGUAUUCAUAGUGCACUCUUAUACUGAAGUCCGCCUUAAGCAUGGUCUUAAGCUAGCGUUCACAUUCAUAGACGCAAUCUUAAGAUAUGCUUAAAAGUUUGAUAUUAGCCAAGAUGUGCAAUUGGAUAGAUAUUCAUAGUCAUCGCUUAAGACGAUCUUAAGAAUUACAAACAGUUUAUGAAUUCAUAGUCAAAUAAGAUCAUCUUAAUAACCUUACUUUUUACUCAAAAUGAGAGUUUUUUUCAAGUCAACAUUUUAGUAGACUUAAGACCAUCUCAGUUAACAUUGAGGGAGAAAAGGCGCUAGUGUAUCACGUCGGUAGAGCACUAUAGAGAUGAGUACUCUCAUCCGCCAUUUUCACUCCUCGAGUGAGCGGAAGUUUUAAAAAAACGUAUGUAGUGAGUGUUAGUCUGAAGGUUUUAUCGUUAUUUUUUGCAAUUUUUUUAAUUAUUUGUGAAUGAAUGAAGAAGAAAUUUUAUUGAAAUCGUUUAAUAGUCAUUUAAUAGUCGUAAACAACUAUUAAUAUCUGUCUGAAAACAUAUUGAAAAAUACAUUUUCAAUAAAAAUUUCUAAGCUCGCUACAAAGAUUUUUGGGCUUUGUCUUGCAAAAAUUGAAGUGCUUCAAAAAGAGAAGAUGCCGUGCUGUGCUACAAUUAAUUGUAGCAACAGAUCAGAA